rnacentral:rRNA from 1 species
CGGCGUGCCUAACACAUGCAAGUCGAACGAAGCACUUGUACGAUCCCUCGGGGUGACGACUUGUGACUGAGUGGCGGACGGGUGAGUAACGCGUGGGAAACCUGCCCUAUACCGGGGGAUAACAGUUGGAAACGACUGCUAAUACCGCAUAAGCGCACGAGAUGGCAUCAUCUAGUGUGAAAAACUCCGGUGGUAUAGGAUGGUCCCGCGUCUGAUUAGCUAGUUGGUGAGGUAACGGCCCACCAAGGCGACGAUCAGUAGCCGACCUGAGAGGGUGACCGGCCACAUUGGGACUGAGACACGGCCCAAACUCCUACGGGAGGCGGCAGUGGGGAAUAUUGCACAAUGGGCGAAAGCCUGAUGCAGCCGACGCCGCGUGAGCGAUGAAGUAUUUCGGUAUGUAAAGCUCCAUCAGCAGGGAAGAAAAAAUGACGGUACCUGACUAAGAAGCUCCGGCUAAAUACGUGCCAGCCGCUGC